AUUGAACGCUGGCGGCAGGCCUUACACAUGCAAGUCGAACGAGUGGCGGACGGGUGAGUAAUGUCUGGGAAACUGCCUGAUGGAGGGGGAUAACUACUGGAAACGGUAGCUAAUAACGCAUACCAUCGGAUGUGCCCAUAUGGGAUUUGCUAGGAGGUGGGGUAAAGUCUCACUUAUGCCACGAACCCUAGCUGGUCUGAGAGGAUGACCAGACACGCGGGAACUGAGACAUGGUCCAGACUCCUACGGGAGGCAGCAGUGGGGAAGAUUGCACAAUGGGCGCAAGCCUGAUGCAGCCAUGCCGCGUGGAUGAAGAAGGCCUUCGGGUUGUAAAGUACUUUCAGCGGGGAGGCGUUACCCGCAGAAGAAGCACCGGCUAAGUACGUGCCAGCCGCCGCGGUAAUAC
rnacentral:rRNA from 1 species